UGGGGAAUAUUGGACAAUGGGGGGAACCCUGAUCCAGCGAUGCCGCGUGUGUGAAGAAGGCCUGAGGGUUGUAAAGCACUUUCAGUGGGGAGGAGGAUAAGAAGGUUAAGAGCUAUUUUAUUGGACGUUACCCACAGAAGAAGCACCGGCUAACUCCGUGCCAGCAGCCGCGGUAAUACGGGGGGUGCGAGCGUUAAUCGGAAUUACUGGGCGUAAAGGGUGCGUAGGUGGUUAGAUAAGUUAUUUGUGAAAGACCUGGGCUUAACCUGGGUUGUACGGAUGAUACUGUUUAGCUAGAGUAUGGGAGAGGGCAGUGGAAUUUCCGGUGUAGCGGUGAAAUGCGUAGAGAUCGGAAGGAACACCAGUGGCGAAGGCGACUGUCUGGCCUGAUACUGACACUGAGGCACGAAAGCGUGGGGAGCAAACAG
rnacentral:rRNA from 1 species